GAGUAAUGCUUGGGAAUAUGCCUUAUGGUGGGGGACAACAGUUGGAAACGACUGCUAAUACCGCAUGAUGUCUACGGACCAAAGUGGGGGACCUUCGGGCCUCACGCCAUAAGAUUAGCCCAAGUGGGAUUAGCUAGUUGGUGAGGUAAUGGCUCACCAAGGCGACGAUCCCUAGCUGGUUUGAGAGGAUGAUCAGCCACACUGGGACUGAGACACGGCCCAGACUCCUACGGGAGGCAGCAGUGGGGAAUAUUGCACAAUGGGCGCAAGCCUGAUGCAGCCAUGCCGCGUGUGUGAAGAAGGCCUUCGGGUUGUAAAGCACUUUCAGUAAGGAGGAAAGGUUAAGUGUUAAUAGCACUUAGCUGUGACGUUACUUACAGAAGAAGCACCGGCUAACUCCGUGCCAGCAGCCGCGGUAAUACGGAGGGUGCGAGCGUUAAUCGGAAUUACUGGGC
rnacentral:rRNA from 1 species